UCCUCAGGGGCCACCAUGUUCAUCAGACACAGCACCUCAGUGGGCAGGCCUCCCAUCUGAGUCACUGAGCUGUUCAGACCUGGCACCUGCAGCGUCACUGGGGUCUGGUUCAUACUUGUCUGGAAGGAGAGCUUGUAUAAAAACUCUAAAAGAGCAUCUAGCCUCCCACCACCCUGCUGUCAUCUGUCCAGCCCCUGGACACUCACCAGAGUGGCGUUCUUGGAUCCCACACUGGCUCUUUGCACCAGGAGCUUCUUGUCUCCCAGCUGCAUGCCGUUCAGCCCAGCAAUAGCCUGUAAUGACACCAAGGUUUUAAAUCAUACUUGCAAAAACUAUGGAAGCUUAAAAUGACAAUGUUGUCAUCAAAAAAGGGGAAUAAUAUGUUUUAUAAAAUA